rnacentral:lncRNA from 1 species
AUUCAUAGUAAGUGUUUUGUUUUAUUUUUAAUAUGUAAAAAGAAGAAGGCAUUGGACUAAAAUGAUUCGUUCUGAAUUUCACACUCAAGAAAUAAAGUGCCCGGUUCCGUCUCUGUACUCUGGUUUCCUAACAUGACAAGGAAAUGCAUGUAGAUUAUGUUUAACUGUCUCUAGAUUAACGGUUCUCAACUGGAGGCGAUUUGCCCCUGGGGGGACAUUGGACAACGUCUGGAGGCAUUUUGGUUGUCAGAGAUGGAGGAAGAGAGCUAUUGACCUCUGUGGUGGAAACCAGGGAUGCUGGGAGAGGUCCUGUGGUGCCCAGGACAGCCCAGGCGGAAAAUGAUCCAGCCUAAGACGGCAAUGCGCCGAGGCUGCGAGACCCUGGUCCACGUGAGCCAUUUUGCAGUUAAAUAAUUUAUAAAGGAAUUCAAGCAUCUCAACCUUGAAAGUUUCAAAGCAGAAUUAAAAGCCCUAACUACCAGGAACGUUAGUUCCCUUUCUUUUUCACCAGAGGAAUUAGGAAGGAUCGUAGAAACUAAAACUUCUCCCUCCGAGAGCUGGUACUAACCCACAGAAAACCAAAACCCCUCUGGCUAUUUUAAGCAAAAAAGAAAAAAGUUUGUUAAAGAAAAUCAAGUGUAUCAAAAGAUCAUCGUGAGGACGGUUUUAAGAGGAAAACACUAAACUUGCCAUAACUGCUGCAAACCGCAUCGCUGAAACAGCCGGAUGCGGAAACCCCACGGCCAGUGCUGCCAGCAUAGCUGGUGCCGGGGAUGCAGCCUCUGUCAUCACCCAGAGAAAGGAGGACCACGCAGCGGCGGCAAGCUUGACCAUCAAGGUCUGGACAGUUCUUCUUCAGAGACCCUGCUGUAGCAAGUGAAGCAGCCUUAUACAAGGGAGCUGUAGAGGGGAGGACACAGCUGAACAUUUACCACUACGAGAAGGUAUUUGCAGCACAUACCAGAAAGGACGAAAGGUACCGAGCCAAGGGCACAGGCAGAUUUGGGAUCUGACAAUCUGCUGAAACUCUUAAAGACCUUUGAAAUCAAAAGCCACCAGUCUUCUUAAGAUCUCUUCUGUAUUUGUCAUCAUUUGACACUGUCUUGAAGAAAAAUUAACUGUGAAAACUAACAAACCAGAACUUGAGCUGUAUGU